AAAAUUCUGGCUUCGUCACUGUAUAAAAGCAUAUAAAAAGUAGGGCUUCUUGUGGAAUGUAGUUAAAGCAAAGAGCUGAGGGGUAUAAUUUAAUUCUACUUGUAAUUAUGAUUGCAUUUUGGGGCUCCUAUUAAAUUCAAUUAUUGCUUAGUCAAAGCAAAUUUCUCUGUUUGCUUCCCUUGUAAUUGACCUAAGGAUUCUAGAUGUUUAAACGCAUGCAUUUAAGAAACUUGAACUUACACCACAU
rnacentral:misc_RNA from 1 species